CAAGUCGAGUGCGCGCCUGUAGCAAUACAGGUGGCGCACGGCGCACGGGUGCGUAACACGUGGGUAAUCUGCCCUUCGAUGGGGAAUAACUCGCCGAAAGGCGAGCUAAUUCCGCAUAACAUUCCGAGAACCUUGGUUUUUGGAUUCAAAGGCGUAAGUCGUCGGAGGAGGAGCCCGCGCACGAUUAGCUAGUUGGUGAGGUAAUGGCUCACCAAGGCUAUGAUCGUUAGCUGGUCUGAGAGGAUGGCCAGCCACACUGGAACUGAGACACGGUCCAGACUCCUACGGGAGGCAGCAGUGGGGAAUCUUGCACAAUGGGCGAAAGCCUGAUGCAGCGACGCCGCGUGGGGGAUGAAGCUUCUCGGAGUGUAAACCCCUUUCGACCCGGACGAAUGCCCCGCAAGGGGACUGACGGUACGGGUAUAAGAAGCCCCGGCUAACUACGUGCCAGCAGCCGCGGUAAGACGUAGGGGGCCAGCGUUGCUCGGAAUUACUGGGUGUAAAGGGUUCGUAGGCGGUGUGGCAAGUCGGGAGUGAAAUCUCUGGGCUCAACCCAGAGUCUACUUCCGAAACUGCUGUGCUUGAGUGUGGGAGAGGCGCGUGGAAUUGCAGGUGUAGCGGUGAAAUGCGUAGAUAUCUGCAGGAACACCCGUGGCGAAAGCGGCGCGCUGGACCACUACUGACGCUGAGGAACGAAAGCUAGGGGAGCAAACAGGAUUAGAUACCCUGGUAGUCCUAGCCCUAAACGAUCAGGACUUGGGGUGCCGCCCGUUCGGGCGUCGUCCCGGAGCUAACGCGUUAAGUCCUGCACCUGGGGAGUACGGUCGCAAGACUGAAACUCAAAGGAAUUGACGGGGGCCC
rnacentral:rRNA from 1 species